rnacentral:rRNA from 1 species
UACGUAGGGUGCGAGCGUUGCCCGGAUUUAUUGGGCGUAAAGGGCGCGUAGGCGGCCACGCACGUCCGUUGUGAAAUCGCCCGGCUCAACUGGGCGGGGUCGGCGGAUACGGCGUGGCUGGAGCAAGCUAGGGGGCAAUGGAAUUCCCGGUGUAGUGGUGGAAUGCGUAGAUAUCGGGAGGAACACCAGUGGCGAAGGCGGCUCUCUGGGACGGUACUGGACGCUGAGGAGCGAAAGCGUGGGGAGGCGAACG